GCGGGAGGAUCAUUGAAUAUGCAACCACAACACGCACUCUUUCACUUGUGUACCGACGUUAGGUCGAACCUCAACCAUGGUUUGGCCUACUAACCUACACACACACCAUUGACCAACAUGUGAUUAAGCCAAACUCUGAAGUUUCAGCUGCUGUUAAUCGUCAGUUUUAAAGAAAACUACUCUCAACAACGCACUAUCUUGGCUCUCGCACGAUGAAGAACGCAGCGAAAUGCGAUACGUAGUGUGAAUUGCAGGAAUUCCGUGGACCAUUAAACGCUUGAACGCCGCAUGCGCUCGCCUCGUCGGAGAAGGGCAUGUCUGCCUCAGCGUCGGUUUACACCCUCACCCCUCUUCUUUAACAGGAAGCUUGUCGUGCUUGCUCAAGCCGGCAUCAGGGGUGGAUCUGGCCCUCCCAAUCGGACUCACCUCUGAUUGGGUUGGCUGAAGCACAGAGGCUUAAACUGGGACCCGAUUCGGGCUCAACUGGAUAGGUAGCAACACCCUCGGGUGCCUACACGAAGUUGUGUCUGAGGACCUGGUUAGGAGCCAAGCAGGAAACGCGUCUCUGGCGCGUAUCUCUGUAUCCUGCACCUGAGCUCAGGCAAGGCUACCCCGCCUGAAACUAUAGGCUUUCCGACGCC
rnacentral:rRNA from 1 species